UUUAUUAUUAUUAAUGUCAGCCUGUUCGCACUGAGGUUAGAUUACAGCCCCAUUGUGAGUGGCUCGGAGACAGCCUGUACCCUGGGGAACACGCCGUCCGAACAGGAGCGGCAGCAGAAAGGGCAGGGAACGAGCAGAGCCAGAGGAGAGGAAGCGCUUUUGCCCCGGUUCGUGCAGCAGAAAACAGACCUCCUGCACCCAUGCAGGCCCCUCAUCCUUUGGACCGCACGGUCCUCUUGUGAAUGAAGACUCCCAGUCACAUGUGAGGAGGAAUGAAUAUCCCUACCAGCCACUGAAAUGGCUAAGAGAGCAGAACUGCUGCACCAGAAGAGGAUUUCCACUUUGCCAAAGCCUGGCCCACUGAAAAAAAAAAAGCAUAACUGAUCCCCUUUGCUUCUAGAGGGACCUGUUCAUGGAGCUGCCAAGAAGCUUCCUAGGUCAUGGUCCAUUCAAAAGCUGCCAGGAGUUCCAGGAUGGUGCAGGUCUGAUGGUCUGAAAACCAGCAAAGAGCACUAAUUCAUUAUGACAGCCUUGGAAAUAUGACAAAUAUUGUUAGGUGCUUUCCAUGGUACCAACAGUUCUCUAUAUCAUUUUUUGUGAGACUGGGAUUGGAGUACCCAAAACUGAGUGUACCCUUUCUGAGAUGUGCUUCAGGGUGCCUUACAUCUCUGCAAGCCAGGACUUCCCUACCCCAUGCAUCCUAUGGACUGGAGAGCUGGGAUAGAGUGAACAAUGUUUAAGGUCUGGAUAUCUGGCACAGAGGGAGCAAGCAGAACAAUGGGAGGUUGUGGUGCCAGGGACAGGUGUAUCAGCAGGCCACAGAGCAUUUCUACAUUGCCAGAUGUUCUAUCCACCUCUGCCCUGACCUCUGGGCUGGGGUGGGAGUGUUUGCUCCCAGCUUUGCUCUGCAGGAUGUCAAAGAACAUUUACUUGCUUCCCAUGCCUGUAAACAUCUACCAAUUCACCUUUCUUAUAUAUGCUUUUCAGGUAAGAUCAAGCUUUCAUUCUUUCUAUUACUGUUCUCCCUGACGUUCUCUGCAAGCAAGCUAUUGGCAAGUGAUGAAAUUCUCUACAUACAGACUGAAAUGUAGGGACUGCAUGGACAAAAUAAUAACGCUAGUCAUAAUAAAAACAGCCCCAUUCGCUUUUCUGUGCAGCUCGCAAAACAACAGCCCAGUUCAAAUUCUCAUCUGCUGUGAGAUAAAAAGUGUGAUUUACUCUAUCGGCUAUGGAGAGCAGACACGCACGGGGCAGUUAUCUCUGGCCAUAAACAAACUGGAGUGGCUUUGCCUUUUAACAGGCUCCCUUCUCCUCUCCUGUGGAGUGCUACUUUCCGCCUUACGUAACCCUCUGGGCAACUCCACUGACCUAUUUUGUUUUAAUAAACUUGAGCAGUUGGAGUUAUGCACCCUCCACUUCUCAGAUGCCAUUGCCACUCCACAGGGCUCCCUUUCCUGCCCUGCUCCACAAGGCUGUGUAGGUGAUGUCUUGGGAGAAGUUAAAUAAACGGCUUCCAUGUUCUGACACAGCCCGUAUGUGCCAAGCUUCCCUUUUGACUGUUAGCCUUGGAGAAGAGAAGGAAAAACCGAGUUGUCGAGGAAAAAGCAUAACCUUUCAGAAACAGUUUUUUAUUACCUUCCUUAUCGCUCCUUUAAGGUCAUAAAGAUUGUACCAAAGAAACUAUUAAGUUUUCCAGGAUUGCAAAAUAUUUUAUCGAUGAUGCACAUGAGGUAUGCUGUUCCACUUUUCAAUUUUUUUUUGGCAUUAAAUUUCCUUUUAUGUUCAGGGAUUUGAUCUUAAUGUUCCCUCCGUACCUUUCUGUUUCCAUCCUGCUUGGAGGCAGUCAGACAUGGUUAAUGGUUUCUUCUAGCCAGGAGCCUAGAGUGAGCUGCAAAUAGAAGACCUUACAGGCAUUAAAAAACAAGCCAACAGUGAACAUGGGAUCUAGAACUGUGGGCACCAUGAUUUCUUGAGAGGCUGAGCAGCUGGCAUUGCCUCCCUCGUGGGUCUUUAUGUGGGAACUGACUUCAGGAGAGCAGUGACUGGCUGUGUUUUCAGCACUGGUUUUCUGUAGUACCUCAUCUGCUUAAGUUCAUUUAGGAUAUAUUCUUCCACCAAAAAAUAUUACUAAAAUUUAUUCUUUUGCUGAAAAACAUCUGUGAAAACCUAACACUGUAAUACUUCUAAGGGUUUAAUGCUGGGGUCUGAGCUGAGAUGGCCGCAUACUGGUGUAUCCACCAGGUUAUCCUGGGAAACAGCUAGGGUUCAAAUGCAGCAGGAGGCCAUCUGAGAUUCUCUUCCCCACAUGCUACAGUGGAGGAGCAGAUUAGUGUCCUGCUCAUAAUGAGUCCCUUACAAAUCCCAUUCUGGAAAAGGAUAUCCAAAGCUUUGGGAGAAACUCUGCAAAGAGUCUCAUGAGAGGCCCAAUUCUUCACACUGGGAAGCGUUGUGGGUGGACUGCAAAGCUCUACUGAAUAUUGAGUUAAUCCAAGAUUUACAUGCCAUAAGCCUGCAGAAAUUGGGCUGUGGUGGGCUUUAGCUAAAGCAGUGUUAGCUAACCUCUUAAGAAACCCAGUUUUUCUCUCCCGUGCAGUCUUUCCACCAGGUCUUGUUUUCCAGGUCCUGAUCUUCAUCUGGCAGAACACAGCUUCAUCCCAUUGAAAAGCCAGUGAAGCAGAUAGGAAGAUCUUACCCCAACACAAUUCUGCUUCCUGAUUACAUGUGUGUUUCCACCAGGCAAGACAAUAAACCAAGCACUAGCAAUGGAAGAGUAGCAGACAUGUGACUGGCACAAAGAUCUUCCAUUCAUGUCUCCUGUAGCAUUUACUAUAAACAGAGGCCAGAGCAAGGAGAUGAGACUCUUUGGUGAAGUGAUGUUGGCACGAAGAAGAAGGGAGUCUUAAGUCAAGCUGAGUUGCAGGGGAAAGCUUUUAUCACGGAAGUGCCAAGUAUAAAUCACUAUAAGAGAUUCCUCAGUCAAGAGACUUUGGAAACAGGACAGUAAUGCCAACUGAAAAUAUAACAGAGCAAUAUUAUGACCAUGUAGAUCAUGAUGUGCCAACCUUUUCAUAGUGUCCCACAUGGAGAAGCUUCCCUUUUCCUACAGGAUUAGACCUCCUGCCUGGGGUGGGGAGAGUGGUUGGGAGCAUGGGAUCUGUGAGUGCAGUUGCCUUGCCAAUCUGUGCAGGUAUCUCAGCGUCGAUUUAGGCUAUGCUCAUGUUUUCCAGGUUCUUUCUCCUGUAACACAACAGUAUGGAAAGACUUCCCCCGUGACUGUAACAUGAAAAACAGAUGAAGGAGGGAACUGCUGGGGGAGCUUAUAAUUCCCAACUGGAAACAUAGACCCUUGGGUAGUGCCUUGUGAUGCUGAAGGCACCCCCAGUCUCUUAACGGCAGCUUAAAGAAGUCUGAUCCCUGGGCAGGAAGAAAAUGAAAAUUAAAUGUGAAGCAACAGCAGUCUGUAUCGGGGAAUGAAUUUCGGUAUAUUUGAUAAAGAGCUUCUUUUUGUUUCGUUUGAAGUAUCGAAUAACACGUGCUUCCUGCCAGAGCAUUUCAGAAAGUUGAACCAAACCACUGCCUAAGCAUCUGGAACUAAAGCUUGGUAAGUGCUAAAUCCACUUUUGAGUACUGUAACUCUUCCGUGAGUAAGAGACGACUAUUCUUCCAUUUCAGUUUAUUCAAAGACUUGGAUUCAGUGGCUUGUUCCUUCAAAGCUGAGAAACUGUGUGAGGUUUGGAAAAAGCAGACAAGCUUGUUUUUCCCCUCUGGUUUACAAGGAAAAUAAGGACGAGAGGACAAGAUCCAGCAGAUAUGAAAUGUUGGGGUAUAUGGUGUCCUGGAACAACCUGUUUAACCCACCAGCCACUGACAGUACUUCCUUUGUUUAGUAUUACUUUUUAUUUUCUGUUUUGCAAUUAAUGUGGUUUUUUCAAGUAAUAAAAAUUUAAGAGUUCAAUAAAAAAUGGUUUUCGACA